rnacentral:rRNA from 1 species
CCUACGGGUGGCAGCAGUGGGGAAUAUUGCACAAUGGGGGGAACCCUGAUGCAGCGACGCCGCGUGAGUGAAGAAGUAUUUCGGUAUGUAAAGCUCUAUCAGCAGGGAAGAAAAUGACGGUACCUGACUAAGAAGCCCCGGCUAACUACGUGCCAGCAGCCGCGGUAAUACGUAGGGGGCAAGCGUUAUCCGGAUUUACUGGGUGUAAAGGGAGCGUAGACGGUUAUGCAAGUCUGAAGUGAAAGCCCAAGGCUCAACCAUGGGACUGCUUUUGAAACUGUAAAACUGGAGUGCAGGAGAGGGAAGGGGGAGUUCCAGGGGAGGCGGUGAA